rnacentral:rRNA from 1 species
UACGUAGGUGGCGAGCGUUGUCCGGAUUUACUGGGCGUAAAGCGCGCGUAGGCGGCUUUGUAAGUUAGAGGUGAAAGCCCGGAGCUCAACUCCGGAAUUGCCUUUAAGACUGCAUCGCUAGAAUCAUGGAGAGGUGAGUGGAAUUCCGAGUGUAGAGGUGAAAUUCGUAGAUAUUCGGAAGAACACCAGUGGCGAAGGCGGCUCACUGGCCCGGUACUGACGCUGAGGUGCGAAAGCGUGGGGAGCAACAGG